GACGAACGCUGGCGGCGUGCUUAAUACAUGCAAGUCGAGCGAGGUUACUGUUUUGGAUCCCUUCGGGGUGAAGAAGCUUUAACCUAGCGGCGGACGGGUGAGUAACGCGUGGGUAACCUACCCCAAAGUCCGGGAUAACAGCGGGAAACCGCUGCUAAUACCGGAUGUCUUUACCUUGGGGCAUCUUGAGGUAAAGAAAGGCAACGCUUUGGGAUGGGCCCGCGUCCCAUUAGCUAGUUGGUGAGGUAACGGCUCACCAAGGCGACGAUGGGUAGCCGGCCUGAGAGGGUGGACGGCCACACUGGGACUGAGACACGGCCCAGACUCCUACGGGAGGCAGCAGUAGGGAAUAUUGCGCAAUGGACGGAAGUCUGACGCAGCGACGCCGCGUGAGCGAUGAAGGUCUUCGGAUCGUAAAGCUCUGUCCUUGGGGAAGAAGGUCUUCGGACUUGACGGUACCCAAGAAGAAAGCCCCGGCUAACUACGUG
rnacentral:rRNA from 1 species